UGGGGAAUAUUGCGCAAUGGAGGAAACUCUGACGCAGCAACGCCGCGUGAGUGAAGAAGGUUUUCGGAUCGUAAAGCUCUGUCUUUGGGGACGAAUAAAAUGACGGUACCCAAGGAGGAAGCCCCGGCUAACUACGUGCCAGCAGCCGCGGUAAUACGUAGGGGGCAAGCGUUGUCCGGAAUCACUGGGCGUAAAGAGCACGUAGGCGGUCUAUUAAGUUAGAUGUGAAAGUUUGCAGCUUAACUGUAAAAGUGCACUUAAAACUGGUAGACUUGAGUCUCGGAGAGGUAAGCGGAAUUCCUAGUGUAGCGGUGAAAUGCGUAGAGAUUAGGAAGAACACCGGUGGCGAAGGCGGCUUACUGGACGAGUACUGACGCUCAGGUGCGAAAGCGUGGGGAGCAAACA
rnacentral:rRNA from 1 species